CUUGAUAUGUUGGCCUCACCGUGCCUGAAAAUAAUAAAACCCACAUGUUAAAACGCGACAAAGCAAGUGCACUUUUAACGCCGAGAUGCUUUUAUGGACCAUUCUUUUGAACAGCUGCAAAUGUUAUUACUUCUUAUUGAAGAAUCUGGAAUGUGAAUCAGAAAAUCUCACAAUAGUCUUUUAAAGAUCAGGAGACACUGCAGCUGACAGUUGGAUAUAGAUGAGGACUGACUAUCAAUUCCGCAAAAGACCACCAUCAAACCUUGUUCUUCAAACAAAGCUAAGCCAAUUAAACCUACUGUGAGAUAGAGCAUGACUUCGGUAGUCUUGGUAGCGUCUCGGGAA